UGAGUUUGAUCAUGGCUCAGAUUGAACGCUGGCGGCAGGCUUAACACAUGCAAGUCGAGCGGGGAAAGGUAGCUUGCUACCUGACCUAGCGGCGGACGGGUGAGUAAUGCUUAGGAAUCUGCCUAUUAGUGGGGGACAACAUUCCGAAAGGAAUGCUAAUACCGCAUACGCCCUACGGGGGAAAGCAGGGGAUCUUCGGACCUUGCGCUAAUAGAUGAGCCUAAGUCAGAUUAGCUAGUUGGUGGGGUAAAGGCCUACCAAGGCGACGAUCUGUAGCGGGUCUGAGAGGAUGAUCCGCCACACUGGGACUGAGACACGGCCCAGACUCCUACGGGAGGCAGCAGUGGGGAAUAUUGAACAAUGGGCGAAAGCCUGAUCCAGCCAUGCCGCGUGUGUGGAGAAGGCCUUUUGGUUGUAAAGCACUUUAAGCGAGGAGGAGGCUACUUAGAUUAAUACUCUAGGAUAGUGGACGUUACUCGCAGAAUAAGCACCGGCUAACUCUGUGCCAGCAGCCGCGGUAAUACAGAGGGUGCGAGCGUUAAUCGGAUUUACUGGGCGUAAAGCGUGCGUAGGCGGCUUUUUAAGUCGGAUGUGAAAUCCCUGAGCUUAAC
rnacentral:rRNA from 1 species